rnacentral:rRNA from 16 species
CUGGUAACUGAAGCCCUGGUGAACGGCGGCCGUAACAAUAACGGUCCUAAGGUAGCGAAAUUCCUUGUCGGGUAAGUUCCGACCUGCACGAAUGGCGUAACGAUGGCCACACUGUCUCCUCCUGAGACUCAGCGAAGUUGAAAUGUUUGUGAUGAUGCAAUCUCCCCGCGGAAAGACGGAAAGACCCCAUGAACCUUUACUGUAGCUUUGUAUUGGAUUUUGAACAGACCUGUGUAGGAUAGGUGGGAGGCUUUGAAGCCGGAACGCUAGUUUCGGUGGAGCCAACGUUGAAAUACCACCCUGGUGUGUUUGAGGUUCUAACCUUGGUCCGUUAUCCGGAUCGGGGACAGUGCAUGGUAGGCAGUUUGACUGGGGCGGUCUCCUCCUAAAGAGUAACGGAGGAGUACGAAGGUGCGCUCAGACCGGUCGGAAAUCGGUCGUAGAGUAUAAAGGCAAAAGCGCGCUUAACUGCGAGACCCACAAGUCGAGCAGGUACGAAAGUAGGUCUUAGUGAUCCGGUGGUUCUGUAUGGAAGGGCCAUCGCUCAACGGAUAAAAGGUACUCUGGGGAUAACAGGCUGAUACCGCCCAAGAGUUCAUAUCGACGGCGGUGUUUGGCACCUCGAUGUCGGCUCAUCUCAUCCUGGGGCUGUAGCCGGUCCCAAGGGUAUGGCUGUUCGCCAUUUAAAGAGGUACGUGAGCUGGGUUUAAAACGUCGUGAGACAGUUUGGUCCCUAUCUUCCGUGGGCGCUGCAGAUUUGAGGAAGCCUGCUCCUAGUACGAGAGGACCGGAGUGGACGAACCUCUGGUGUACCGGUUGUCACGCCAGUGGCAUUGCCGGGUAGCUAAGUUCGGAAGAGAUAACCGCUGAAAGCAUCUAAGCGGGAAACUCGUUUCAAGAUUAGAUCUGCCGGGGCCUUGAGCCCCCUGAAGAGUCGUUCAAGACCAGGACGUUGAUAGGCAGGGUGUGGAAGCGCAGUAAUGCGUUAAGCUAACCUGUACUAAUUGCUCGUGAGGCUUGA